rnacentral:rRNA from 1 species
UCCUCCAGAGUUUGAUCAUGGCUCAGAUUGAACGCUGGCGGCAGGCCUAACACAUGCAAGUCGAGCGGCAGCACGGGAAGCUUGCUUCCUGGUGGCGAGCGGCGGACGGGUGAGUAAUGCAUAGGAAUCUGCCCGAUAGUGGGGGAUAACCUGGGGAAACCCAGGCUAAUACCGCAUACGUCCUACGGGAGAAAGCAGGGGCUCUUCGGACCUUGCGCUAUNGGANGAGCCUAUGUCGGAUUAGCUGGUUGGUGAGGUAAUGGCUCACCAAGGCGACGAUCCGUAGCUGGUCUGAAGAGGAUGAUCAGCCACAUCGGGACUGAGACACGGCCCGAACUCCUACGGGAGGCAGCAGUGGGGAAUAUUUGGACAAUGGGCGCAAGCCUGAUCCAGCCAUGCCGCGUGUGUGAAGAAGGCCCUCGGGUUGUAAAGGCACUUUCAGUGGGGAAGAAAGCCUUGGGGCUAAUACCCUCGAGGAAGGACAUCACCCACAGAAGAAAGCACCGGCUAACUCCGUGCCAGCAGCCGCGGUAAUACGGAGGGUGCGAGCGUUAAUCGGAAUUACUGGGGCGUAAAGCGCGCGUAGGUGGCUUGAUAAGCCGGUUGUGAAAGCCCCGGGCUCACCUGGGAACGGCAUCCGGAACUGUCAUCGCUAGGAAGUGCAGGAGAGGAAGGUAGAAUUCCCGGUGUAGCGGUGAAAUGCGUAGAGAUCGGGAGGAAUACCAGUGGCGAAGGGCGGCCUUCUGGACUGACACUGACACUGAGGUGCGAAAGCGUGGGUAGCAAACAGGAUUAGAUACCCUGGGUAGUCCACGCCGUAAACGAUGUCAACUAGCCGUUGGGAGCCUCGAGUUCUUAGUGGCGCAGUUAACGCGAUAAGUCAACCGCCUGGGGAGUACGGCCGCAAGGUUAAAACUCAAAUGAAUUGACGGGGGCCCGCACAAGCGGUGGAGCAUGUGGUUUAAUUCGAUGCAACGCGAAGAACCUUACCUACCCUUGACAUCGUGCGAACUUGGUACAGAUACCUUGGUGCCUUCGGGAACGCACAGACAGGUGCUGCAUGGCUGUCGUCAGCUCGUUGUUGUGAAAUGUUGGGUUAAGUCCCGUAACGAGCGCAACCCUUGUCCCUAUUUGCCAGCGAUUCGGUCGGGAACUCCUAGGGAGACUGCCGGUGACAAACCGGAGGAAGGUGGGGACGACGUCAAGUCAUCAUGGCCCUUACGGGUAGGGCUACACACGUGCUACAAUGGUCGGUACAAAGGGUUGCAAAGCGGCGACGUGGAGCUAAUCCCAAUAAAGCUGAUCUCAGUCCGGAUCGGAGUCUGCAACUCGACUCCGUGAAGUCGGAAUCGCUAGUAUUCGUGAAUCAGAAUGUCACGGUGAAUACAUUCCCGGGCCUUGUACACACCGCCCGUCACACCAUGGGAGUGGACUGCACCAGAAGUGGUUAGCCUAACUUCGGAGGGCGAUCACCACUGUGUGUUUCAUGAUUGGGGUGAAAGUCGUAACAAGGUACCGUAGGGGAACCUGC